rnacentral:rRNA from 1 species
CCUACGGGUGGCUGCAGUGGGGAAUUUUGGACAAUGGGCGCAAGCCUGAUCCAGCCAUUCCGCGUGAGUGAAGAAGGCCUUCGGGUUGUAAAGCUCUUUCGCAAGGGAAGAAAACUUAUCCUCUAACAUAGGAUGAGGUUGACGGUACCUUGAUAAGAAGCACCGGCUAACUACGUGCCAGCAGCCGCGGUAAUACGUAGGGUGCGAACGUUGCUCAGAAUUAGUGGGCGUAGAGUUGUAGCAGGGAUGUGAAAUCCCCGAGCUCAACUUGGGAACUGCGUUUGAAACUACAAGACUAGAAUAGGUCAGAGGGGGGUAGAAUUCCACGUGUAGCAGUGAAAUGCGUAGAGAUGUGGAGGAAUAUCAAUGGCGAAGGCAGCCCCCUGGGAUCAUAUUGACGCUCAUGCACGAAAGCGUGGGGAGCAAACAGGAUUAGAUACCCUUGUAGUC